GCCGUACUCCCCAGCGGAGUGCUUAAUGCGUUAACUUCAGCACUAAGGGGUGGAAGCCCCCUAACACCUAGCACUCAUCGUUUACGGCGUGGACUACCAGGGUAUCUAAUCCUGUUUGCUACCCACGCUUUCGCACCUCAGCGUCAGAAACAGACCAGAGAGUCGCCUUCGCCACUGGUGUUCCUCCACAUAUCUACGCAUUUCACCGCUACACGUGGAAUUCCACUCUCCUCUUCUGUCCUCAAGUUCCCCAGUUUCCAAUGGCCAUCCACGGUUGAGCCGUGGGCUUUCACAUCAGACUUAAGGAACCGCCUGCGCGCGCUUUACGCCCAAUAAUUCCGGACAACGCUUGCCCCCUACGUAUUACCGCGGCUGCUGGCACGUAGUUAGCCGGGGCUUCCUCGUUAGGUACCGUCAAGGUACCGCUCUGUUCGCACGGUACUUGUUCUUCCCUAACAACAGAACUUUACGAUCCGAAGACCUUCAUCGUUCACGCGGCGUUGCUCCGUCAGACUUUCGUCCAUUGCGGAAGAUUCCCUACUGCUGCCUCCCGUAGGAGUCUGGGCCGUGUCUCAGUCCCAGUGUGGCCGAUCACCCUCUCAGGUCGGCUACGCAUCGUUGCGUUGGUGAGCCGUUACCUCACCAACUAGCUAAUGCGCCGCGGGCCCAUCUGUAAGU
rnacentral:rRNA from 1 species